CGAGGUAUAGCAUAUAUAAUGCCUUUUACUUACACUAAAAAUAAAGUUUAUUAACUUACUUCGC
rnacentral:tRNA from 1 species